rnacentral:rRNA from 1 species
UUUAACUGGAGAAUAGCCCGAAGAAAUUCGGAUUAAUGCUCCAUAAUAUCAAGAGAAUGCAUAUUCUUUUGAUUAAAGCUCCGGCGGUUAAAGAUGGGCAUGCGUGCCAUUAGCUUGUUGGUGAGGUAACGGCUCACCAAGGCAACGAUGGCUAGGGGUUCUGAGAGGAUGAUCCCCCACACUGGUACUGAGACACGGACCAGACUCCUACGGGAGGCAGCAGUGAGGAAUAUUGGUCAAUGGGCGAAAGCCUGAACCAGCCAUGCCGCGUGCAGGAUGACGGCGCUAUGCGUUGUAAACUGCUUUUCUGCUCCAAGAACCCCCCGAUCGUGAUCGGGGUUGACGGUAGAGCAGGAAUAAGCAUCGGCUAACUCCGUGCCAGCAGCCGCGGUAAUACGGAGGAUGCAAGCGUUGUCCGGAUUUAUUGGGUUUAAAGGGUGCGUAGGCGGGAUAAUAAGUCAGUGGUGAAAUCCUGCGGCUUAACCGUAGAAUUGUCAUUGAUACUGUUAUUCUUGAGUUCAGUUGAGGUGGGCGGAAUGUAUAAUGUAGCGGUGAAAUGCUUAGAUAUUAUACAGAACACCGAUUGCGAAGGCAGCUCACUAAGCUGAUACUGACGCUGAGGCACGAAAGCGUGGGGAGCGAACAGGAUUAGAUACCCUGGUAGUCCACGCUGUAAACGAUGAUCACUCGCUGUUGGCAAUACAUCGUCAGCGGCUGAGCGAAAGCAUUAAGUGAUCCACCUGGGGAGUACGUCGGCAACGAUGAAACUCAAAGGAAUUGACGGGGGCCCGCACAAGCGGUGGAACAUGUGGUUUAAUUCGAUGAUACGCGAGGAACCUUACCUGGGCUUAAAUGCAGAACGACGGUUCCCAAAGGGAUCCUUCUUCGGACGGACUGCAAGGUGCUGCAUGGUUGUCGUCAGCUCGUGCCGUGAGGUGUCGGGUUAAGUCCCAUAACGAGCGCAACCCCUAUUGUUAGUUGCCAGCGAGUAAUGUCGGGGACUCUAACGAAACUGCCGGUGUAAACCGAGAGGAAGGUGGGGAUGACGUCAAAUCAGCACGGCCCUUAUGUCCAGGGCUACACACGUGUUACAAUGGACGAUACAGAGGGAAGCUACUUGGCGACAAGAUGCUAAUCUCGAAAAUCGUUCUUAGUUCGGAUUGGAGUCUGCAACUCGACUUCAUGAAGCUGGAAUCGCUAGUAAUCGCACAUCAGCCAUGGUGCGGUGAAUACGUUCCCGGGCCUUGUACACACCGCCCGUCGAGCCAUGG